rnacentral:rRNA from 1 species
GGCCCUUUCGGGGGUACACGAGCGGCGAACGGGUGAGUAACACGUGAGCAACCUGCCCUUCUCUUUGGAAUAAGCGUUGGAAACGACGUCUAAUGCCGAAUAUGACCCCCUGUCGCAUGGUGGGGGGUGGAAAGCUCUGGCGGAGAAGGAUGGGCUCGCGGCCUAUCACCUUGUUGGUGUGGGUAAUGGCCCACCAAGGCGACGACGGGGACCCGGACUGAGAGGGUGACCUGCUACUUUGGGUCUGAGAC